CACGUAGGGGGCGAGCGUUGUCCGGAUUUAUUGGGCGUAAAGAGCUCGUAGGCGGUUCGGCAAGUCGGGUGUGAAACCCCCAGGCUCAACCUGGGGACGCCACCCGAUACUGCUGUGACUGGAGUCCGGUAGGGGAGCGUGGAAUUCCUGGUGUAGCGGUGAAAUGCGCAGAUAUCAGGAGGAACACCAGCGGCGAAGGCGGCGCUCUGGGCCGGUACUGACGCUGAGACGCGAAAGCGUGGGGAGCGAACAGG
rnacentral:rRNA from 1 species